rnacentral:rRNA from 1 species
CGUGAGGGACGACGGCCUUCGGGUUGUAAACCUCUUUUAGCAGGGAAGAAGCGAAAGUGACGGUACCUGCAGAAAAAGCGCCGGCUAACUACGUGCCAGCAGCCGCGGUAAUACGUAGGGCGCAAGCGUUAUCCGGAAUUAUUGGGCGUAAAGAGCUCGUAGGCGGUCUGUCGCGUCUGCUGUGAAAACCCGAGGCUCAACCUCGGGCCUGCAGUGGGUACGGGCAGACUAGAGUGCGGUAGGGGAGAUUGGAAUUCCUGGUGUAGCGGUGGAAUGCGCAGAUAUCAGGGGGAACACCGAUGGCGAAGGCAGAUCUCUGGGCCGUAACUGACGCUGAGGAGCGAAAGGGUGGGGAGCAAACAGGCUUAGAUACCCUGGUAGUCCACCCCGUAAACGUUGGGAACUAGUUGUGGGGACCAUUCCACGGCCUCCGUGACGUAGCUAACGCAUUAAGUUCCCCGCCUGGGGAGUACGGCCGCAAGGCUAAAACUCAAAGGAAUUGACGGGGACCCGCACAAGCGGCGGAGCAUGCGGAUUAAUUCGAUGCAACGCGAAGAACCUUACCAAGGCUUGACAUACACGAGAACGCCCUAGAAAUAGGGAACUCUUUGGACACUCGUGAACAGGUGGUGCAUGGUUGUCGUCAGCUCGUGUCGUGAGAUGUUGGGUUAAGUCCCGCAACGAGCGCAACCCUCGUUCUAUGUUGCCAGCACGUAAUGGUGGGAACUCAUGGGAUACUGCCGGGGUCAACUCGGAGGAAGGUGGGGAUGACGUCAAAUCAUCAUGCCCCUUAUGUCUUGGGCUUCACGCAUGCUACAAUGGCCGGUACAAAGGGCUGCAAUACCGUAAGGUGGAGCGAAUCCCAAAAAGCCGGUCCCAGUUCGGAUUGAGGUCUGCAACUCGACCUCACGAAGUCGGAGUCGCUAGUAAUCGCAGAUCAGCAACGCUGCGGUGAAUACGUUCCCGGGUCUUGUACACACCGCCCGUCAAGUCAUGAAAGUCGGUAACACCUGAAGCCGGUGGCCCAACCCUUGUGGAGGGAGCCGUCGAAGGUGGGAUCGGUAAUUAGGAACU